rnacentral:rRNA from 1 species
ACGGAGGGUGCGAGCGUUGUUCGGAAUCAUUGGGCGUAAAGCGGAUGCAGGCGGUGAAGUUAGUCGGGUGUGAAAGCCCAGGGCCCAACCCUGGAACUGCACUCGAAACUGCUUCACUAGAGUCCCGGAGGGGAAGGCGGAAUUCCCGGUGUAGAGGUGAAAUUCGUAGAUAUCGGGAGGAACACCAGUGGCGAAGGCGGCCUUCUGGACGGUGACUGACGCUCAGAUCCGAAAGCGUGGGGAGCAAACAGG